rnacentral:rRNA from 1 species
UACGUAGGGUGCAGGCGUUGUCCGGAUUUACUGGGCGUAAAGAGCGUGUAGGCGGCCAGGUAGGUCGGUUGUGAAAACUGGAGGCUCAACCUUCAGAGGUCGACCGAAACCAUCUGGCUAGAGUCCGGGAGAGGAGAGUGGAAUUCCUGGUGUAGCGGUGAAAUGCGCAGAUAUCAGGAAGAACACCCGUGGCGAAAAGCGGCUCUCUGGAACGGUACUGACGCUGAGACGCGAAAAGCGUGGGGAGCGAACAGG